rnacentral:rRNA from 1 species
UACGGGGGGGGCAAGCGUUGUCCGGAUUCAUUGGGCGUAAAGGGUGCGUAGGCGGCGCGGUAAGUCGGGUGUGAAAUCUUGGAGCUUAACUCCGAAACUGCAUUCGAUACUGCCGUGCUUGAGGACUGGAGAGGAGACUGGAAUUUACGGUGUAGCGGUGAAAUGCGUAGAUAUCGUAAGGAAGACCAGUGGCGAAGGCGGGUCUCUGGACAGUACCUGACGCUGAGGCACGAAGGUCAGGGGAGCAAACGGG